CCUACGGGUGGCUGCAGUAGGGAAUAUUGCUCAAUGGGGGAAACCCUGAAGCAGCAACGCCGCGUGGAGGAUGAAGGUUUUAGGAUUGUAAACUCCGUUUGAUAGAGAAGAGGAUGACGGUAGCUAACGAAUAAGCACCGGCUAACGCCGUGCCAGCAGCCGCGGUAAUACGGAGGGUGCAAGCGUUACUCGGAAUCACUGGGCGUAAAGAGUGCGUAGGCGGGGUAAUAAGUCAGAUGGGAAAUCCUGUAGCUUAACUACAGAACUGCAUUUGAAACUGUUACUCUGGAGGGUGGGAGAGGUAGGUGGAAUUCUUGGUGUAGUGGUUAACUCCGU
rnacentral:rRNA from 1 species